ensembl:lncRNA
UUCAUUAGGUGACAUGCCAGCUUUUCAAGCAAAAAAUUAUAUUGAGAAGCAAAAAAUAUUGUUCAUUGACAGAUAAAACAAUAACAAUUUCUGUACCUUAUAUAAACUUUUUUUUUUCUAAAGAAAUAACCUAUUUCAACAAAUGUUGAUAACUUAGUAGAACAGUGAAUAUGUACAGUAUCAUUUUCAGUAAAGAUAAUUCAGUAUGCCCUAACACAUGCAUUCAAAUUAAGAAAUUACGAAUACAUUCAAAGUAAAACAGCACCUUUUUAUUUGUUACAGCAUGAAAUACUUAAAAUACACUAAAUGCACUUUAUCUAUAGCAGUGGUCAGUGGUCAGUGGUCAGUGCGGUCAUUAUACAUUGGGUUCACAGAACGUAAUGUAUGUACUGUAUGAUUCAAUACUUACUCCAUAAGUCCACGGACCGAAAAUAUGGUUCAUUCUUUGAUUAUGUAGGGUUAAGUUAUACUAUCCAAACAAUACACAGCAAUUUACAAUACAUAUACAUUCCCCAGAAAUCAAGUUCAUUGACACAGCAAGGAACAUUACAAUUUAACCAAUGGCCAUACAUUUUGUCCCCAUAUCACUUAUGGGGAUUGAGAGCCACGGUCGCCCGUGGUGCAGUCGCAUGCUCAAGGGCACAACAGCAGGAGAUGGCAUCUAGGAUAGAAGAGCCAUAUAUGUAUGGCUCUGUAGGAUACUGAUGCAGUGCCACACAACAACUAGUUUAGACAUUAAAGUUUAGACAUUAACUCCACAUUUUUAAGGUUAAAGUUCAUUUAGGCUUUAACUCCGAGAUCUUAAGGUUAGGCAUUAACUCUAAAUGGUUAAGGUAAGGGUUACGGUGUGGGAUAGGCUUAAAACAAAAAUCUCAAAAACAACUUUCUAUCACCUGAUUUGAACAUGUAAAAUUUGGCUCCAGAGGCAGGUAGCCUAACAGUUAAGAGCGCUGGGCCAGUAACCGAAAGGCACCUAACACUAAUUGCUCCUGUAAGUCACUCUGGAUAAAAGAGUCUGCUAAAUGACUUAAAUGGAAACUAGUUGGUGGUGUAUGAGGGGAGUUUCCCCAAUACAAUGUAAACCACAUUGAGCAUCUGGAAAAGCACUACACAAAUCCAAUCAGUUACUUUUAUUAAUGAGUUCUUCUUCUUCCCCGUCUUCCUCUUCCGGUGUGUCUUCAGCCUGCAGGUUGUUGUUGUAUACACAUUGUCACACCUUGAAAGUUGCCAUCUCCAAUGAUGCAGUUACUCAAAUUGGAAUGGCUGAUGUUGAUGACGUAAGUUGGGGCAGUGUUGGUCCUCCUCCUCUCUGUUGUUUGGGGUGUGAGAAAAAAGGGAAGAGGUUGAAAAAUGGGAAAUUGUUGUUGACAACAGUAUCCCGGUGAUUCCCGUUGCAUCAUGAUGAUGACAUACUGUAAAAACCUCUAUGAGCUUUAGUUUUGGACACGUGGAGAAACCAUUUAGAUUUAAGCCUACACUAUAUCUUUAAAAAAAAUAGAGGAAUGGAACAUUCUUGGGCCUCACCUGCAUCGGACACCAAAUGGUGCUGGGUUUCCAGUGCUUUCAAAAGGUAAAGUGUGGUAGAAUGUGGCAUACCAUAUACAUAACAUAUAACAUACUACAGAGAAAACGUGCUGCAAUAUAAGCCAAGUUAGCCUACCUCUCUAAAUGUCACAUAACAUUAUUUUCAUUUUUCAUUUGAUUGAACCUUUAUUUACUUUAGAAUCACAAAAUCACCGUAAGCCUAGACUAAUCAUAACCAUAUUUAAAUGUUGAUGAAAACGACAUGAAAUCACAAAAUCACCGUAAGCCUAGACUAAUCAUAACCAUAUUUAAAUGUUGAUGAAAACGACAUGAAAACUAUAGACAUGUAGGCCAAAGUCAUUUACUUGCAAUUAAUCAAAUGAAAAAAUGUACACUUUUGAAGAGACUUACCUGGGAGGCUGGUGACUCUUUCGAACUGUGGUGGGCACUGGCAACACUUUUCUAGUGAGUCGAAAAAGAGCAGACAGGCGUUGCGACCCUUCUUCAGCACCACCUGGAGCAGUUUGGCAGCCUUCUCCAUGUCUGUUCUCUGGGACCAGAUCACCUGGCUCUCAUACUCUGUGAUGGUCCUGGAGCUCAACAAGUACACGCACAGCCUUUCCACUGCACAGCAUGACAUAGAUUUGCUAAGAGCGUGUAAACGAAGUUGCAAGCUCCUUUCUUGGAUGAGGGAGCAUUAAAAAAUAACAGAAAUAUUUCAGUGUUGUUAUAACAUGAUAAUAAUAUGGCAUUUGCUUAAUUCAUGCAAAAUAAAAUAUGAUGGAAAGAUGAAAGAAGUGUAGUGUAGGCUAAUGCAAAAAUAUCACUUUCACACCAACCCUGUUAUUCUCACGGGUUAUUCCCCAUCUAAACCACUUUCUGACUGUAAACAUAACAUCAUCUCGUGCCUGCCUGCCCUACAUUCCAUUCCAUUUUAGAUCUUAACAUUAAUUAACACCUAACUGUAUAGUUUAUAGUGUAGGCCUAAAUACAGAGUUUUCUUGUUUUUCAUCAAUUGCUUCCAUACAUAUCAUAGGCCUAUCACUUUUUGUUUAGAUCAGACCCAUUGUAAUCUCGGUUAACACAGAACUAAAAUUGUUAAUUGUCAAUCCACGAAAAAUUUGAAGAAAGUGAUAUCUUACCAGGUAAAAUCUCGCGUUUUUCGUUACAUGGUAACAUAAUUGUUAAUUUGACAGAACGAUAUAGGCUACAUUACAACAGUGCAUAACUUUGUGUGUAUCAUUUCGACUGAGAAUGAGAAAUGGGCUGCAAUCGGUUGUCGGUCAUUUUUAUAGGCUGCGGUAGCAAAACUUAAAAUAAAUAAAAGCCCCUAAUGGUGGGGGCAUGCGCAGACUGUUUUGGGAGUUUCCAUUCGCUUCAACCCUCAUAAUAAAUUCACCAACUGCGCUUGUGUUGUCAAGAAGAACAGAAUAACACAUUACAAGA